GAAGACAGUUAAGAGAGGAAAUGGGGGAGGCAGAAGGGCAGAGCGAGGCGGCAUGGUGUCGUGGAGGAGCAGAAUGAGAAAGAACACGAGUUGAAAGGCGAUAUGAAAGGAGAGGCAAGACAGAGAGAUACAGCAGGAAUAAAUUAAUAUCUUUAAAACACCAGACGAGAGCACAAGAAGAAAAACAUCGUCAGGGACAGAGAAAAAAAGGAAAUAUGAAAAGAAUAGAAGGUCAGGGUGCAUGCUUGCAUCUCAAGAAAUACAAGGGAAAAGAGAGAGCUUACAGUAGAGAUGUCUGCCUCUGGCAGGGACACUGGGUACCAGUGACUCCUGGACUGCAGGAUCCAGAUCCAGUUGACCACCAACCCCUGAGCCAGCAAUGUAGCGCUACCUUAGACUUCAUUUGGGGCUGACAUUAUUGGAGGGGAGGGAGGACCGGCGAGUGUUCCGAACAACAAGAGACUUAGUGGAGCCAGAAACGGACGCUCUCAUGCAUGUCCAGGCAGAUGUCAUGGGCCACAGGGAAACUGCUGUCGCAGUGAGACCAGGGCAGGAGGAGACAAACCAUCCUUGACCAAAAAAAUCUGUUUUGACUGUCUCAUCAAAACUAAGCACUCUACAAUCUAGAACACACCCGUGUCAA